UACGGAGGAUCCGAGCGUUAUCCGGAUUUAUUGGGUUUAAAGGGUGCGUAGGCGGCCUUGUAAGUCAGGGGUGAAAGACGAUAGCUUAACUAUCGCAGUGCCUUUGAUACUGCAGGGCUUGAAUGUACUUGAGGUAGGCGGAAUGUGACAAGUAGCGGUGAAAUGCAUAGAUAUGUCACAGAACACCAAUUGCGAAGGCAGCUUACUAAAGUAUGAUUGACGCUGAGGCACGAAAGCGUGGGGAUCAAACAGG
rnacentral:rRNA from 1 species